rnacentral:rRNA from 1 species
GUGGGGAAUAUUGGACAAUGGGCGAAAGCCUGAUCCAGCCAUGCCGCGUGAGUGAUGAAGGCCUUAGGGUUGUAAAGCUCUUUCAGUAGGGAAGAUAAUGACGGUACCUACAGAAGAAGCCCCGGCUAACUUCGUGCCAGCAGCCGCGGUAAUACGAAGGGGGCUAGCGUUGUUCGGAUUUACUGGGCGUAAAGCGCACGUAGGCGGAUUGGUCAGUUAGAGGUGAAAUCCUGGAGCUCAACUCCAGAACUGCCUUUAAUACUGCCAGUCUAGAGUCCAGAAGAGGUGAGUGGAACUCCUAGUGUAGAGGUGGAAUUCGUAGAUAUUAGGAAGAACACCAGUGGCGAAGGCGGCUCACUGGUCUGGUACUGACGCUGAGGUGCGAAAGCGUGGGGAGCAAACAGGAUUAGAUACCCGGGUAGGUCC